rnacentral:rRNA from 1 species
AUGAGGCGAACCGGGGGAACUGAAACAUCUAAGUACCCCGAGGAAAAGAAAUCAACCGAGAUUCCCCCAGUAGCGGCGAGCGAACGGGGAGGAGCCCAGAGCCUGAAUCAGUGUGUGUGUUAGUGGAAGCGUCUGGAAAGGCGCGCGAUACAGGGUGACAGCCCCGUACACAAAAAUGCACAUACUGUGAGCUCGAUGAGUAGGGCGGGACACGUGGUAUCCUGUCUGAAUAUGGGGGGACCAUCCUCCAAGGCUAAAUACUCCUGACUGACCGA